rnacentral:lncRNA from 10 species
CCAACUUUUAAGAAGCAGAAUCAGGAGAAAGUAAUGCCUUCCUGUUUGUGAAUCUAAUAAUUAAAAUGGAGCAUGCCUUCGCAGGGAAUACUGAGUAUAAGCAGGAGAAUAACUCUCAUCUAAAGAAAGCUCAGUUAUCAGUUCAUAGGUGGCUUCCAUAAAGGAAAAUGUCUACCUUUUAAGAAAUUGAGAAUGGCUUUGGUGCUACAGCCUUUUUGUUGUGUGCUGUUAUAUGCAUUAGAUUAAUGAUGAAAAAAAUUAAGGCAUUAAAAAAUUGAGACUCUUAAAAUGAAAUCGCAAAAUAAUAGGUAAUUUUCUAUAUAAAUCAGAAUUUUAAAACUACCUUAUUAUUCAUCUAUGAGAUGCAAAAAUAAAUGUAUCAGGUACACAACGAUUCUUGGUGUUUUGGAGCUACAAACACACACACACACAAGACUCAAUGUAUAGUCCAGUGAAUGAUAUAUAACAGUACUCAUAUUUGAAAUCCUGAGAGGAUUUUUUUUAAGCUGAAGGGCUCACUCACAAAACAAAGUAAGUUUUAUGCACAAAUAAGUGUGAGG